GACGAACGCUGGCGGCGUGCUUAACACAUGCAAGUCGAACGCUGAAGCCUGGCUUUUGUUGGGUGGAUGAGUGGCGAACGGGUGAGUAACACGUGAGUAACCUGCCCCCUUCUUUGGGAUAACGCCCGGAAACGGGUGCUAAUACUGGAUAUUCACUGGUCUUCGCAUGGGGGUUGGUGGAAAGGGUUUUCUGGUGGGGGAUGGGCUCGCGGCCUAUCAGCUUGUUGGUGGGGUGAUGGCCUACCAAGGCUUUGACGGGUAGCCGGCCUGAGAGGGUGACCGGUCACAUUGGGACUGAGAUACGGCCCAGACUCCUACGGGAGGCAGCAGUGGGGAAUAUUGCACAAUGGGCGCAAGCCUGAUGCAGCGACGCCGCGUGAGGGAUGGAGGCCUUCGGGUUGUGAACCUCUUUCGCUCAUGGUCAAGCCGCAACUGUGGGUUGUGGUGAAGGGUAGUUGGAAAAGAAGC
rnacentral:rRNA from 1 species